UUUUUUUUUUUUUUUUUUUUUUUUUUGUAAAUAAAUCGUUAAAGCUCUUCCGUGCCGCUUCUGGUUUCCACACGCGUGUGAGGGCUAAAAGUAGCUGUGACGCGCGUUCGCUGCUGUUUUCCUUUGUCGGGCGGGCGGAUUUAACGCCUAAUAUGUCUUCUCGCCCGCUAUUCCGCCUCUCCUCCGAGCCGUCUUUGUUUAGGCAUCCCCAUCUUUUAUUGCCGCUGACCGCCGGAAUGUUGUUGGUUUUCUCCCCCCCCUCCCCCUGCACCUCAUUUCAUAUAUAGGAAAGGAAAGAAAAGAAGGAAAAAGUCGAAGAGAAAGCCAUCCACAAAGAAAAGAAGAAGGAGAUAGUAGAGGUGAGGCUCUUCUGAGGGACAGAUUUGGCGACGUCGGGGAGGUUUUUGUGCUCGCUGUGGGUAGCAAAUAUGAAGGGAAUAUGGGAGAUAAAGAAAGGGAGCGCCAGCCUAGAGGUAGAGUAAGCUCUUGGAUAAUUGUGGAGAAUGAGCCUUGAAAGACUUAGUGUAGUCAGCACAGCCCAUCAGGGAGAAAAAAAGGUCAAAGAAGGGAAUGGAGCCAGGAACAAGUGGGAGAAUGUGGCGCGGGAGAUGUGGUCCUGCACCCACUGGGGUAUCCUGAGGUGCACAAGGAGCAUGUGUUGGAGAAGCUGGGGGCGGGGGGGGGAAACUGUGAGGAAACACGCACAGAUUGAUGGAGGUCGGGGAGGGGAUCUGGAAACAGAUGUACCAUAAGCCUCAGCUGUCAUUAGCCUGUAAUCAGAGAUGCUUUGGUUGUUGGGAGGGAUGGCAGCAUCUCCUCAGGAUGUAAGCUCGUGGGAGACAAGGAAGCUGCGUGUUGCUGGGGAUGUUCUGGAAGGAUUGGCUUUGUGAAGGAAGGCUGGUUGGGAGAAGUGUACAUCAACAGUGGCAGGAAUAAUGAUGUUGGAGUAACAAUGCACUCAAAUGCACACCUGGAGUGGCUGGAGCUCUGAAAUUUGUUGUGCUUGUAGCAAAGAGCACGUGGAAAUGUUAUCCUGGCAUCAGUUUCUGCUCUGGACCGAUUUGUUUUCAUUCAGGAUGAGGAAAAUGGAGCUGACGAGGAUGAUGAAGAGAAUCCUGAUGAUGUAGAUGAAGAAGAGGGUGGUGAUGAGGACGAAGAAGCAGAUGAGAAUGGGCAGGAGCAGGAUGGCCACGCAGAGAAACGAUCUGCAGAGGAGGAGGAGGAUGAAGUGGAUCCAAAGAGACAGAAGACAGAAAACGGCUCUUCAGCUUGAGUCCUCCCUCCCAUCCCCCUGUUCCGCCCAUCUCUCCUCCUCCAUUCCAGCCUGUGCUUGCACUGCCCGUUAGCCUCUGGCUUCACGCAAUCUCAGAUGAGGAAAGAUUAGAAAUGCUCUCAAACAGGGGAAGACAGCAGUUCCCUUCUCACCCAAAGGACCUAGUCCGUCCAUGACCUUCCCCAGCUGAAAUUAUCCCUGUCCCCUGCAGCCCUUCACUGCACCCCCCUUACCAGCGCUCCUGUUCCCUCAAGAAUCUCAUGGUUUCCUGGGCACACAGCCUUGCCAGGCACUUCACGUGGGCAAAGCACCUCCCGUCCCCUUGUCACCUGCCUGCCUGUUUUUGUCACUGGUAUGAGAUUCUUGAGAGCUCCCGCCCAGCCCUGCUGCCAGAGCUCCUGCCAGAGCCAGGAGGUGCAGGCACAGAUCUCGUGGUGCGUUCCCCAGUCCUAGGCCUCUUCUCAUCUGCUUUCCUGCUGAACCCUGAGAGACAAAAGAAAGAAUAUUACAAGCAAAUAAUGGUUCUAUUAAGCAACACAUGGAGACAGGAUUUAUUUUAAGCUUUUCUUUUUUUUUUUUUCCGAGUUUACAUUGACAGCAAGCUGGCCCUCGUGAAUUUUUUGAAAGAUAAGGGUUGUUUUAUAUACGAAUUUCAUCUGAGCUGUGUAUUUUUUUAAUUUGGAGGCUUUUUUAAAACAAAUCAAGAAGAGACACCAAUUGGGACCAAAACUUUGAUUUCCAUUUUUCCCUUCAGAUUUUCUUGUGACCAUUUUUUGUAAAUUAAAGGCAAUAUAGCCACAGCGUUUUCUAUGGCACAGACAUCACGAGGAUGAUAGAUAUAAAUAUAUAUAUUGUUUUCAACAAGCACUGUAAAUAAAAAGCGUUUAAAAUGUUUCAAA
rnacentral:lncRNA from 1 species